CUAUUAUAAUACCUAUUCUAUUAGAACUAGCAGAAAGUAUACCCGUAGAACCAGCAAAUGUUGUCUUUAAAUAUAAACUCCAUGUUAGUGACACAGAAUAAAGUUAAAUAUUCUGUACGGAAAGAAACCACUGCACUGGGUACAACAGAAACACUGGCACAAGCUAC